rnacentral:rRNA from 1 species
GCGGCACGCCUAACACAUGCAAGUCGAACGAAGUAGCAAUACUUAGUGGCAGACGGGUGAGUAACAUGUGGGUAUCUGCCCUAUGGCCUGGAAUAACACGAGGAAACUUGUGCUAAUACCGGAUAAGUCUUUACGGAGAAAGCUUUAUGCACCAUUGGAUGAGCCCGCACUUGAUUAGUUUGUUGGUAGGGUAAUGGCCUACCAAGACUUAGAUCAAUAGCUGAUUUGAGAGGAUGAUCAGCCACAUUGGGACUGAGACACGGCCCAAACUCCUACGGGAGGCAGCAGUGGGGAAUCUUGCACAAUGGAGGAAACUCUGAUGCAGCGAUGCCGCGUGAGUGAAGAAGGCCCUUGGGUUGUAAAGCUCUUUCGUCGGGGAAGAAAAUGACUGUACCCGAAUAAGAAGGUCCGGCUAACUUCGUGCCAGCAGCCGCGGUAAUACGAAGGGACCUAGCGUAGUUCGGAAUUACUGGGCUUAAAGAGUUCGUAGGUGGUUGAAAAAGUUGGUGGUGAAAUCCCAGAGCUUAACUCUGGAACUGCCAUCAAAACUUUUCAGCUAGAGUUUGAUAGAGGAAAGCAGAAUUUCUAGUGUAGAGGUGAAAUUCGUAGAUAUUAGAAAGAAUACCAAUUGCGAAGGCAGCUUUCUGGAUCAUUACUGACACUGAGGAACGAAAGCAUGGGUAGCGAAGAGGAUUAGAUACCCUCGUAGUCCAUGCCGUAAACGAUGUGUGUUAGACGUUGGAAAUUUAUUUUCAGUGUCGCAGCGAAAGCGAUAAACACACCGCCUGGGGAGUACGACCGCA